rnacentral:rRNA from 1 species
GCAGUAUUUUGACUGUACAAAGGUAGCAUAAUCAUUUGUCUCUUAAUUGGAGUCUAGAAUGAAUGGUUGGAUGAGGGGUGUACUUUCUUUAUUUUAAGUAUAUGAAUUUGAUUUUUGUGUUAAAAAGCAUAAAUGAUAAUAAAGGACGAGAAGACCCUAUAGAACUUUAUUAUAUAUAUUAUAAGCUUGUUUUAGUACUUUAUGAUUUGAGUUUAUAUUUUAUACAAUUUGAUUGGGGUGAUGGAAAAAAUUUUAUAACUUUUUUUUAUUUAUACAUUUAUAUAUGUUUAUUUGAUCCUUUUUUAUGGAUAAUAAGAUUAAGUUACCUUAGGGAUAACAGCGUUAUUUUAUCAUAGAGUUCAUAUCGAUGAUAUAAGUUUGCGACCUCGAUGUUGGAUUAAAAUAAGUGACAGGAGUAGAUUAU